AUGGCAGGUUCCUCCGCUCCGGCAGCCAUCUCCUUCGCCCAUGUUCAGAUCGCUGAGAAGCUAACCAGGGAGAACUAUCUACCCUGGAAGGCUCAGGUCCUGCCACCGGUCCGAGGUGCCCUUCUCAUGGGUUUCCUCGACGGAUCGCGGGCAGCACCACCGGAGGAAAUCGAGGAGGCAAAGGCGGACAAGACCGUCGAGAAGGUAUGUAACCCAGCCUAUGCAGCGUGGGUGGCUCAAGACCAGCAGGUUUUGGGUUUUCUGCUCGGGUCUCUUUCCCGAGAGGUGUUGCUGCAGGUGAUGGAUCAUACGGAGAGCAGCAAGCUGUGGGCCGCGAUCCAGGCGAUGUUCGCCUCGCAGUCGCGCGCCCGCGUCAUCCAGCUCCGCACGCAGCUCACAAACUCGCGCAAGGGAGAUCUCUCUGCCACUGCGUACUUCACCAAGAUGAAGGGAAUCGCUGACGAGCUUGCUGCCGCGGGGAAGAAGAUGGACGACGACGAUCUGGUCUCGCAGAUUCUCUCGGGGCUUGAUGCAGACUACAACCCCUUCGUCUCGGCGCUCUCUGCCAAGGCGAACGAGCAGGCGAUCACCCUCGCCGAACUCUUCUCCGGGCUCCUGGUGGCCGAGUCACGUCUGGAGGCGCAGAACCCGGUGAGUCAGCAGCUGUCGGUCAAUCUCGUCGCCAAGGGCGGACGUGGCGGCGGCUAUCCUCAGGGUCGCAGCAACAGCAGCGGCAACAGUCGCGGUGGAGGAGGCGGGCGCUCCUCUGAUGACGGGCGUGGUGGCUACCCCAACCAGCGCCAAGGCCAAGGCGGUGGUGGUCACGGUGGUGGAGGCUACCACAACGGCGGCGGCGGUGGCGGCUACAACUGCGGCGGCGGCGGCGGCUACUACGGCGGCGGCGGCGGCGGCUACAACAACCAUACCCGACCCGACGUGGUCAUAUGCCAAAUCUGUGGCAAGGCCGGCCACGAUGCAUAUCGCUGCUGGAAGAGGUUCGAGAAGAACUUCAAGAGGAAGGAGAAGACAGCAAACUCCGCAGCCACUUCGUACGGAGUUGAUACGAACUGGUACAUCGACACUGCAGCAACCAACCACGUCACAAGUGAGCUAGACAAGCUCGCUACCCACGAACGCUACACCGGCAUAGAUCAAGUCCACACGGCGAGUGGGUCAGGGAACGGGGAAAAUUCUGCUGCGCGCACAGAGUAG
rnacentral:rRNA from 1 species